GGUAGCUCUAGAAACAUCGGCUCUUUCAUAUCCUUUCACAAAGAAAUGCUCCUCCAUUUUUUUACUUGGACUUCUUCAUCUUCUUAAUUGGGUAGCAAUUGAUGACGGGAUUCAGGCCUUUUUGGUUGUAGUUUCAGUUGAGUUUCAAUUGCCCAUUUAUUAAUUAUAUACUUUUAUAGUUCUCCAAUGAGGUUUCUCUAUAAUGAUACCCUAUCGUCAUUCUUGUCGUGUCAUCUUAAAACUCAUGUGCCUACUUUUAUUUCUCUUAUUUCUAUUUGGAAUAUCUAUUUAUUUGCGUCUGUAUGUAUAAGAAUUUUAUCAUGCAAUUGUCUUUUGGGGUUUAAUUAUGAUUUUCUUUUUGUCUAGGAGCUUUUGAAUUAGAUUUAUUUUCAAAUUUUUAGUUUGUGUGUUUUUUCGUCUGUUCCGGUAAUUUGAAGGGAUGAGAGGGGUUUAUCGAAUUGAUUUCUUCUUAACACCUUAACAACUUUUUAAUUGCAUCUAAAUUAUUAAAGCGAGGUUCUUGAAUUGCUUUGGUAGCUCUUUCCUUUUGUCAUAUUGUUUUAUAAUUUGUAAUAAUCCAUUUUUGAAGUAUUUUUCAUGGAUUACUUACUGUUACUAUCGGGUUUUUCAUCGAUUCUUGUUGUUUCAUAUCAGGUGAAAUCUUAUGUCUAAGCUCUAACGAACCAAAAUAUAUCAUUCUAAAGAUUCAACCUUUACGUAAGUUGUUUAUCAUGUCUUUUUAUUUUUUGAAGCCCUCGGUUAACUUUAUAUGCCUUUAAGAUUUUGAUGCUUUUACAUAUAAAGUGAAAGAAGUGUAUGAAAUAGUUUGGACUUGUUGGUGAAAAAUGAUAACCAAACAUGAUCUUUUAGUCAUAGAGGAUCAUCAAAGAGUUUCAUUUCAUUUGAAUGAGCCACAUGUAUUUGUUUUGCUUAUAUUGGAGGUUGGGAGAUUCUCUACCAAUAAAAUUUAAAAUGAAAUGGCAUAUUUAUGCAUGUCAUGUAAGUUAGAAUUCAAAGAAGAUUCUAUAAAUACUAGUAUUAAGCAGUUAUAGCUAGAUUCCUUUCAUUUAAUAGUAAGUAGAAAGCGUUGUAAGUGAAUCAUUUCACUAGAUCCAAGUGAGCCAUAUUUGACCUAAAAAUGCCUAAGCUUUUGAUUAUCUCAAUUUUACUCAAUAUUUAUUAUUUUAUUAUUUCCUUAUAAGCUUUGUCAUGAUAAGAAAAAAUAAUUAUAUUAAUUAAGUUUCAUCUUCUUUUCUUAAUGUUGUUUCUCUUUUUUCCGCCUUUUUAUGUUAUAGUAAUAUAGUGAUGUAUGUGUUGCUAAAUUUUAGUUUUAUUUUUUUCUUUAGCAUAGUGUCAGUAUUCUUCAUAAUUAAUGAGAGGAUUGUUGAGAUUAGUUGUAUGUAAAGAUGAUCUUACAACUUGGCAUACUAGAAUGAAAAUAAAAUAAAAAAGGUUGAAGUAUUCUACGAAUGUUGAUAUUUUUCAUUUGAGGCGGGUGAUUGAAUUCAAUAUAUACCUUAAUAUGGCAAAGUUCUGUUUUAAGUGGGAUCGUCAAAUAUGUACACAUUUAGGUCUACUCAAUUAUCUUGGAAUUUAUCGUAUAAAACUAUGGAUUACUUUAAUUUAUGCUUGAAAGUGCAAUUGGAGAAAAAUUACUUUAAUUAUUAGGAGAAGUUUAAUUUUGAAGGACUAUUUGGACAAGUAUAUUUGCUUUGGUUUUAAGUAUUGAACACAUAAAAAAGCUCUCUAAGUAAGUACAUAAAUCAUGUCUUCUUUUAAAGUACAAUCUUUCAGUUUAAUAUUUUUUCUUUACUUUGAAGGGAGCCUUGGAGUAAUGGUAAAAUUGUCUUUGUGUGACCUAUAGGUUAUGUAUUUGAUUCAUAGAAUUAAUCACUGAUACUUACAUCAGGGCAGACCGCCUAUAUUAUACUCCUCAGAUGCGAUCUUUCUCCGAAUCUUACGUAAACGUGGGAUGCCUUGUGCACCCGGUUAUCUUUAGAUACCAAAAGAUAUAUGUUACACCUUUUUUUUUGCCAAAAAAUAUGUGUUAACCUCAGUUGAAAAGGACAUGACUGCUUAUGGUAAUAGGACCUCUAUAUUCGGCUAAAGUUAUUAUAUUCUUCUGAUAUUAACAUUUAACUUUAAAUGUCGAAAAUUUGUAUCUUCGUGCCACAUAAGAAGACGUGACUUAUUUCCUCUUUUUUAGAAAAAGAUAACUGGGACGUAACUAAUUCUACUAGAAGAACCUCUAUUUUCUUCCUAAGUUCUGAGACCUAAUUCCUUAUAUUUUGACUUAGCCUCAGUUGGAAAUGGAAAAAAAUUCUGCAUUUUUUUCGUGUAAAAUCUGAUGUUAUGUUGAUACAUCUUGAGCUAGGCCUCAUUGUGAUAAUUUAUUUCAGGUGUUCCUUCAGUAUGAAGAUUCUAUUAUCCGAUCAUGUAUUUGCAAACUAUGUUAGAUUUAUCAUAUUUGGCUCGAAACAGUACAACACAAAAAGGGU
rnacentral:lncRNA from 1 species